CAAUUUGAUUGAUAGAAGCAGCGUAUACAUCAUAUGAUUACGUUCGGAUCAUAUUUCAUUCUCCAAGAUAAAUGUCAUAUUAAUGUUUAUAUCAAACAAUUAAAUUUGUCGCGAGACAAUAUAAUCAUCUAGCAAUCAGCAUCACCAGUAGUGCCGAGAGGUUCCUACUCUUUAAGUUUUGCGUGUUACUUAAAAAAAUUGUUACGCCAGUGACGCAACAAACGUUAAGUAAACUGAAGGAGUGAAUACUGCCUUUAAAAGUUUUAUAAAAAUCUGUGCGAGAUAAUAUUGGAUACGACAAUAACUUCAAUUACAAAAUAAAUAAUGAUGGUAGUUUUUCGAUUCUGGUGUGUAGGAAUUGUACUCCUGGUCAUGAACGUAUCUGCCAUACCAGUAUAUGAUGAUCGAAGACCGAGUUAUUAUGAUACAUCAGAGAAAUUCCUCCCGCAAAAAAGACCAUAUAGUACAUUUUUCCGGAUCGGUAAAUCUCAAGUGAGACAUUCGCCAAGUAUGGACGAUGUUUUUGUCAAUAAAAUGGGGGAUGCAUUGCAUGGACAAGAUUAUAUUCCCGAAUUAAUUGACGAGGAACAAAGGGCAAAUUUUAAUGCGGACAGAUUUAUUACUGGUGGUUUGAAGGAUUCUCUCCUGGACAACAAUUCAGAAGAGCAGCCCAUUCCUUCUAAAAGAGGAAUGUUUCGAUUCGGAAAAAUGCCUUAUUUCAUGAGAAAUGGACGGACCUUUUUACAGACUUAUUAUGACAAACCAGAUACAGUUUCUACAAAAUCUCAAUUCUGGAGAAUUGGUUAAAAGAUCUUUUCCAUUCUAACAUUUAAAAUGAAAGAUAGAAAUAAACACGCAUAUCACACCAGUUAAACUUUUCAUAAGUUAUUUUGGAAUAAAUUUGUCUGACUUAAUACUUUGAGCAAUCUUUUAUUUGUUCUGAUUAAAAGUGGUUUUAGACAGUAUAUAA